AAAGAAUGGCUUGUUACAUUGGCCAUAUGGUCAAAAUUAAAUGCUUGAUUAAUAAUGUAGUAACAAUAACUUCUAACAAUGACUUAUUUCACUAGGAAAUUGCUGGAAACGACUAAAUCAAACACCAGAUGG